rnacentral:rRNA from 1 species
AUUGAACGCUGGCGGCAGGCUUAACACAUGCAAGUCGAGCGGGGGAAGGUAGCUUGCUACUGGACCUAGCGGCGGACGGGUGAGUAAUGCUUAGGAAUCUGCCUACUAGUGGGGGACAACAUCUCGACAGGGAUGCCAAUACCGCAUACGUCCUACGGGAGAAAGCAGGGGAUCUUCGGACCGCGCGCUGCUAGAUGAGCCUAAGUCGGAUUAGCUAGUUGGUGGGGUAAAGGCCUACCAAGGCGACGAGCUGUAGCGGGUCUGAGAGGAUGAUCUGCCACAAUGGGACUGAGACACGGCCCAGACUCCUACGGGAGGCAGCAGUGGGGAAUAUUGGACAAUGGGGGGAACCCUGAUCCAGCCAUGCCGCGUGUGUGAAGAAGGCCUUAUGGUUGUAAAGCACUUUAAGCGAGGAGGAGGCUACUUUAGUUAAUACCUAGAGAUAGUGGACGUUACUCGCAGAAUAAGCACCGGCUAACUCUGUGCCAGCCGCCGCGGUAA